AUUGAACGCUGGCGGCAUGCCUUACACAUGCAAGUCGAACGGCAGCACGGGAGCAAUCCUGGUGGCGAGUGGCGAGCGGGUGAGUAAAGUAUCGGAACGUGCCCAGUCGUGGGGGAUAACGUAGCGAAAGUUACGCUAAUACCGCAUACGAUCUAUGGAUGAAAGCGGGGGAUCGCAAGACCUCGCGCGAUUGGAGCGGCCGAUAUCAGAUUAGGUAGUUGGUGGGGUAAAGGCUCACCAAGCCGACGAUCUGUAGCUGGUCUGAGAGGACGACCCGCCACACUGGGACUGAGACACGGCCCAGACUCCCACGGGAGGCAGCAGUGGGGAAUUUUGGACAAUGGGCGCAAGCCUGAUCCAGCCAUGCCGCGUGCAGGAUGAAGGCCUUCGGGGUGUAAACUGCUUUUGUACGGAACGAAAAGGUUUGGCCUAAUACGCUGAACUCAUGACGGUACCGUAAGAAUAAGCACUGGCUAACUACGUGCCAGCCGCCGCCGUAA
rnacentral:rRNA from 1 species